CCCUUAGAUGUCCGGGGCUGCACGCGCGCUACACUGAAUGAAUCAGCGUGCUAGAAAACCUUGUUUGACAUGGCUAGGUAACCCAUUGAAAAUCAUUCGUGAUUGGGAUCGGGACUUGCAAAUGUGUCCCUUGAACGAGGAAUUCCCAGUAAGUGCGGGUCAUCAACUUGCAUUGAUUACGUCCCUGCCCUUUGUACACACCGCCCGUCGCACCUACCGAUUGAAUGGUCCGGUGAAGCCUCCGGAUUGGCGCGCACCUCGGUGCCGCCGAGAAGUUGGCUAAACCUUACCAUUUAGAGGAAGGUGAAGUCGUAACA
rnacentral:rRNA from 1 species